rnacentral:rRNA from 1 species
UACGGAGGAUCCAAGCGUUGUCCGGAUUUAUUGGGUUUAAAGGGUGCGUAGGCGGCCCGUUAAGUCAGUGGUGAAAGUUUGCGGCUUAACCGUAAAAUUGCCAUUGAAACUGAUGGGCUUGAGUAUGGUUGAGGUGGGCGGAAUGUGUCAUGUAGCGGUGAAAUGCUUAGAUAUGACACAGAACACCGAUUGCGAAGGCAGCUCACUAAGCUGUAACUGACACUGAGGCACGAAAGUGUGGGUAGCAAACAGG